AGUGAACGCUGGCGGUAGGCCUAACACAUGCAAGUCGAACGGCAGCACAGGAGAGCUUGCUCUCUGGGUGGCGAGUGGCGGACGGGUGAGGAAUACAUCGGAAUCUACUUUUUCGUGGGGGAUAACGUAGGGAAACUUACGCUAAUACCGCAUACGACCUACGGGUGAAAGCCGGGGACCUUCGGGCCUGGCGCGGAUAAAUGAGCCGAUGUCCGAUUAGCUAGUUGGCGGGGUAAGAGCCCACCAAGGCGACGAUCGGUAGCUGGUCUGAGAGGAUGAUCAGCCACACUGGAACUGAGACACGGUCCAGACUCCUACGGGAGGCAGCAGUGGGGAAUAUUGGACAAUGGGCGCAAGCCUGAUCCAGCCAUACCGCGUGGGUGAAGAAGGCCUUCGGGUUGUAAAGCCCUUUUGUUGGGAAAGAAAA
rnacentral:rRNA from 1 species